UACGUAGGGUGCGAGCGUUAAUCGGAAUUACUGGGCGUAAAGCGUGCGCAGGCGGUUUGUUAAGACAGAUGUGAAAUCCCCGGGCUUAACCUGGGAACUGCAUUUGUGACUGGCAAGCUAGAGUAUGGCAGAGGGGGGUAGAAUUCCACGUGUAGCAGUGAAAUGCGUAGAGAUGUGGAGGAACACCGAUGGCGAAGGCAAUCCCCUGGGCCUGCACUGACGCUCAUGCACGAAAGCGUGGGGAGCAAACAGG
rnacentral:rRNA from 1 species